UACGAAGGGAGCUAGCGUUGUUCGGAAUUACUGGGCGUAAAGGGCGCGUAGGCGGUGUGUCAAGUCAGGCGUGAAAGCCCCGGGCUCAACCUGGGAACAGCGCUUGAGACUGGCACGCUCGAGUUCGGGAGAGGAUGGUGGAAUUCCCAGUGUAGAGGUGAAAUUCGUAGAUAUUGGGAAGAACACCGAUGGCGAAGGCAGCCAUCUGGACCGACACUGACGCUGAGGCGCGAAAGCGUGGGGAGCAAACAGG
rnacentral:rRNA from 1 species